rnacentral:rRNA from 1 species
AUUGAACGCUGGCGGCAUGCCUUACACAUGCAAGUCGAACGGCAGCACGGGAGCAAUCCUGGUGGCGAGUGGCGAACGGGUGAGUAAUAUAUCGGAACGUGCCCGGUCGUGGGGGAUAACGUAGCGAAAGCUACGCUAAUACCGCAUACGAUCUACGGAUGAAAGCGGGGGAUCGCAAGACCUCGCGCGAUUGGAGCGGCCGAUAUCAGAUUAGGUAGUUGGUGAGGUAAAGGCUCACCAAGCCGACGAUCUGUAGCUGGUCUGAGAGGACGACCAGCCACACUGGACUGAGACACGGCCCAGACUCCUACGGGAGGCAGCAGUGGGGAAUUUUGGACAAUGGGCGCAAGCCUGAUCCAGCAAUGCCGCGUGCAGGAUGAAGGCCUUCGGUU